rnacentral:rRNA from 1 species
UACGUAGGGGGCAAGCGUUGUCCGGAAUUACUGGGCGUAAAGGGUGCGUAGGCGGCUGAUCAAGUCAGAUGUGAAAUCCCCGGGCUUAACCUGGGAGCUGCAUUUGAAACUGAUUGGCUAGAGUGCAGGAGAGGAAAGCGGAAUUCCUGGUGUAGCGGUGGAAUGCGUAGAUAUCAGGAGGAACACCGGUGGCGAAGGCGGCUUUCUGGACUGUAACUGACGCUGAGGCACGAAAGCGUGGGGAGCAAAC